rnacentral:rRNA from 1 species
GUAGGGAAUAUUGGACAAUGGGGGCAACCCUGAUCCAGCGACGCCGCGUGAGUGAUGAAGGCCUUCGGGUCGUAAAGCUCUGUUGCAGGGGAAGAACACAAUGACGGUACCCUGCUAGAAAGGAUCGGCUAACUUCGUGCCAGCAGCCGCGGUAAGACGAGGGAUCCUAGCGUUGUUCGGAAUUAUUGGGCGUAAAGCGGGUGCAGGUGGCUUGGUAAGUCAGAUGUGAAAGACUGGGGCUUAACCCCAGAAGUGCAUUUGAUACUGCUGAGCUUGAGUGCUGGAGAGGCUAUUAGAAUUCCUGGUGUAGUGGUGAAAUACGUAGAUAUCAGGAGGAAUACCGGAGGCGAAGGCGGAUAGCUGGCCAGACACUGACACUCAGACCCGAAAGCGUGGGGAUCAAACAGGAUUAGAUACCCCUGUAGUCC